AUCAACCCUCAGUUUAUUCUCAGUUUUUAAGACACUUUUUAAAAUGAAUUUUAUGGUACCUUUUUGGAAACCUGGAAGUUCUUCAGGAUAACAGGGAUCUCAGAACAUGCUACCAGGAGCUGAAGAGGAUCCCUUGCCUAUUAGCCAUCGCCGAAGAUAGUGAGCUGUGUACUGAGAAAGUGAGUGAGGGUGGCAACCAAAAAAUAAAAGGAAAAACAGAGGCGCUGGAAUUAAAAUGAUCCUAGAAGGAGACAACAACUGCUUAUAUAAACACUCAUCUUCUAUAUAGCAAGAAAUCACAUCUCCAUGAUCUAUGCUUGACUCCAGUAUGUCAGAAAUUCUGGUUGCACAUGCCAGAACAUGGAGGGGGAUCUUCUGGGUGUUCUACACAGGGGUGUCCCCACAGCAGACAGGUAGAAGGACAUAUCACAAGUUGAAGCAAAGGCAUCUUCCCAAGAAGACCUCAGAGACAUUUCAAAUGGAAAGCACAUGGGUAUCUCCAGGCAAGAUCAAUUGGCUACCUUUCAAGAGGCCCCACAGGAUGGAUUAUCUUGGUGAGUUUACCACAGCCUAUGAUCUGGCUCUCAGCCCUGUAGAUUUAGAAACUGGAUUUUAUCAACACUUCCAACAUAGAUCUAUUUGUCAUUAGUGACUCACAUUAAUCAGCCCACAAAGACCGAUGGAAAAAGCCAGAGCAUCUAUAUAUUAGUAACUCUCCCAAAGACUGGAAUACUUGCUUAGAAUAUGAAGUCUGAGUAAGGAUUAGAGUAAGGAGAGUUUCAUGUGUCAUACAUCUGUGAGAAGGAAAUGGAUAGAGUUGGUGUUAGUGCCAGGAACUCCACACAACCUGUAGCUGAUAUUAUCCUGGGCCAGCUGGCAGUAAACUAUUACCCCUGGAGGUGGGGAGAGGAGGUUUUUGCCACAGAUGUGGUCUUUCUUCAGCUCAGUGUUUGGUAAUAGACGAUCCAUAGGGGAGAGAUACCCACCCCAAGGAUUAGGAUGCUUGCAUCUGUAGUCAGGGGUACUCUCUCCAUUGGAUAAUAAUGGUAAAUCAUAUCUAAAAAGUUGAUUGAUUGGAUGUGAGGUAUGGGGGAAAAUUAGGAGUCAAAAAUGACCCCUAGGUUUAUGACUUGAGUAACUGGAUGAAUAAUGGAGCCACAAACUGAGGUAAAGAACACGAGAUCAUGAGUUCAGCUUGGACAUACUGGAUGAUUUGGGAAUGCCUCUGAGACAUUCAAUUUGAAAUGUCCUGUAGGCAGUGACCUAUUCAGAUCUGUAACUCAGAAGUGUGAUCUGUGCCAGAGAUAUAAAUUUGGAUUUGUCAGUGUAUAGAAAACUGAAGUCAUGGGAAUUGAUAUUUUCUUGAAAAAGCAUAGAGAACAAAGAGUGGAGGGCCUAGGACAGAGUUCUGAGGAACACCAACAUUUCAUUGUUGGGUAGAGGAUGAGAAGCUGACAUAAGAGACUAAGAAAGAAUAGCCAAAAAAAAAAAAUGCUGAAAGAAAAUCAGGAGUGUGCUUGCAUGGAAACCAAACCCAGAAACUAUUUAAAGAAAACAUGUAGGUGCUUUGAAUGGUGACGUAAAUUCUAAGUAUAAAAUGGCUUGGCAUUGCACAGUUAAGUGUCUGAGAUUUAGCAAGAUUCCACCUGGUGCAGAUAUGGUCACUGGCUGCAGUAUGUCCUAUUAGGGACUUUGAAGAGUGCUGGAAAAAUCCUCUGCAUCAUGCUGCAUCUAUCCUGCCAUGGGUGGGUGGGAGGAAACACUUCAUUUGAACUGAAUUUCUGUAUCUUUUGCUAUAUAAAUAAGGGGAUGAGGAACUUAAUUGAAUUAACAACAACAACAGAACUGAAAAGAGAUAUUGGAAUUUACCAACAUAAAGUUUUCUGGUGACCUUAACAAAGCAGUUUUAGUAUAGUGAUAGGGUGGGGAUGAGAGGAGGCUGAGGAACAAAGGCCCACUCCCAGAAAAAAGGAGGUUGAGAGAGAGCGUGUGUGUAUGUGUGAGAAAUGCAAAUAUAUGUUACUUAACCUGAAGGGAAAAACCAGAUCAGAUUAUUGCUAAAUACCUUUUAAAAAACGAUUGUGUUCUCAGACUCUUAACUAUAGAGAACAAACUGAUGGUUUGGGGAGGUGGAUGGGGGGAUGGAUGGAAUAGGUGAUGGGGACUGAGGAGUGCGCUUGUCAUGAUGAGCACGCAAGUGUUGAAUCAUUAUAUUGUACACCUGAAACUAUAUUACACUGUAUAAGUAACUGGAAUUUAAAUAAAAACUAAAAAAAAAAAAAAAAAAGCUAUUGUACUUUCAGCUUUAGAGAUUGCACUUUAGCAUGCUAGCUUGGUCUUUCUUUCCAAGAGGCAUCAGUGAUGUCUUUUAAAAAAUGUUUGGCAAUGGUAGACUGUUUCUGGGAAUGUUUGAUGCCCAAGGACUGUGACCUGAAACACUGACACAAGAGGAAUGCUGGUGUCUGAGCUCAAAAGUGAGUAGCUACAUAUGGCCUGUCUGGAUUAAAUUAAGGUCAAAGUUCACAAGUGAGAAAUAUUAAACACGCACUUAGGAUGACAUCUAACAACCUCAGUCUGUGGGUUGGAACUCUAAUAAAAUUAAGGCACCACGUGCUGCAUUCAGUCACAUACCCGACUUCCACUGCUAUCUAGAAGCAUCAUUCUUGGCUUAAACCAGCAAAGAGAAAAAUAAAAGCAUACUGUUCCUUUGCAUUCCAUUUGGGAACAAGUUAACUUUGAAAAAUUCCCAGAGAUGUCAGAUUCAUGCAGGACCAGGUAAAGAGGAAAAUCCAGAUGUUUCCAUGAGCACGAGGGUAGUAGGUAUUUUCUCCUCUUAGGGUGGAGGGGGUCCCUUUAUUUCUCCUCAACAGUUAUCCCCUCACCCUCCCACUCACACAGUUUAAAAUAGCUCUCUAGAUUUCACAUUCUCCUUCGUAUUUUGUUGUCAUGAUUAAGCAUAGCUGUUUUUAA